rnacentral:rRNA from 1 species
GGGUGAGUAACACGUGGAUAACCUACCUAUAAGACUGGGAUAACUUCGGGAAACCGGAGCUAAUACCGGAUAAUAUUUUGAACCGCAUGGUUCAAAAGUGAAAGACGGUCUUGCUGUCACUUAUAGAUGGAUCCGCGCUGCAUUAGCUAGUUGGUAAGGUAACGGCUUACCAAGGCAACGAUGCAUAGCCGACCUGAGAGGGUGAUCGGCCACACUGGAACUGAGACGCGGUCCAG